UCUUGCUCAGUGUCUCUUUACAAUGCAGCAAUACUGAUAGUAUUUUCUCCAUAUGGCAGGUGUGGGGCUGAGUGUUUGUCCCCUGAGUUUAUAAAUAAGGUGAAAUUCAAACUAUGAACUUCUGGCUUCACAUUCUUAGAUUCAAACAACAUGAUGGGUAGAGGAGAGCCACUAUAGCAUACCAAUAUACAGAUACCAGGAGGCUGAGAGGCAGUAGAUUGCCUAAAGCCACUUCAGUGGUGAUUCUCUUUAUUGUGCAGGGGGAGAGCAACUGGCCCUAUCCAUCCCCAGCACAGCAUUCCUCCCGCGGCUGUUGCUGGUGUCUAUCUUGUGUUUCUUUUUUAGAUUGUGAGCUCUUUGAGGACAGGGUAGCCAUUUUAUUUGUUUGUUUAUAUCUAUGUAAACCACUUUGGGAACUCUUGUUGAAAGUGGUAUAUAAAUAUCCGUCACAUUUGUAUUCAGUUUAUGGGUUAAGUAAGAUUUGAACUAGGGACUUCCCAUUUGCCACAUACAAUAGUAAAUAAUAAUGAAUGACACCUUUCAAAGAGAUUUUACCAACAGUGCAUAAUAUACCAGUACUGAAGAUAUUAUGCAAUGCUGUAUUUUAGAGAUGUUUCCUUCCUAAUAUUUAUUUGCUCUGCUAUUUGCUCUUUCCAGUAUUAUUUUUAUUACUUGUUUCCAGCAGUAUAUUCAGCCUGCUGUGCCCUUCCAGAAAUACAAAUUAUCACUGCCACUGCCACAAAGAGACCUUUAGAAAUGGCUGGACUUCUACUGCAUGAAAACAUAUGCUUCAAAUGAAUGCUGAGUAUUGGGUGCCAAUGGAAGCAAAGUAAUGGAAUCCUGCCAGAUGGGAGAGGUUGAAACUGUGGACCAUGUGAUAUUAUACUGCCAGUUUUAUAGAGAGAUUUGUUUUCUUUUCAUAACCCCAAUUUUAAAGAAAUUUCCAGCUGAGGGGAUGAGGAACAAAGUGAAGGAACAAAAUAAGCAGUUUUGGGAUAGUGACAGAAGCAGAGGGAGAGAGAGCUGAAGGCACCGUGGGAUGCAGAUCUCUGUCUGGGUCAGAAGAAAAACAAUCCAACUAUUUGUAAUAGAAGAAACCAGAAUGGAAACCAAACGAAAAUGGCAAAGUUCAGGAAACAGAAAGAUCCAUUCAUCCCUAUGAGCCACCCAAAACAACAACAAGAGAACCGCAAGGAUUAGAUAAAGACAGCAGAGGCACCAGAUGAAAAAGCAACUAUGGAAAACUAAUAGGAUUUUGAAUACCAAUACAAACAUGAGUGCACAGGAUUGACUACACCUGAUGCCUUUAUUGCACCAGGUAAUAGGGACAGAGUUUUAACGUCUGGGCUCUCUCCAGUAGUGACCCACUUGAUUGUGCCAGUUCCCCGUUUUCCUGCUAGAUUAUUUAUUGGUUGGUUGGUUAGUUGGUAUUUCUC